CAACGUACAAAACCUGGUGGAUUUGAUGUUCAGCAGCAUCAUGGGAACCCCCUUUAGCAUAUCAUGAGCUGUAACAGAAGGCUGAGGCUGUGGCCAGACACUAGUCCAGCUUCAGAAUAAUGGAGCACACUUGAAUCACGAGCUGAAGUUGGGCUCCUUCAUGACCAGUAUCUGUGACGAGAGGGGCCUGGAGCUGAUCUACGCUGCCAUGCCCAUCAGAUGUUUCCAAACAAAAGAUGGGCAGAAGACAGGUUGAUACUGAGACCUUGCCUUGCACUCAGCAUUACAAUUACAAGACAGCCAUUACAUUUUGUCUUUUGUUAUUAUUGAAUUGAAUGGUACCAUCAGUGGGUGGGGCCCCUGUGUAUUCUUCAAACAUAUCAGGGAACGCCUGUCUUAUACAGGACAGGAAGGCAUAAUAUUUGCACAUUGUUAUAUUAGCAGUCCAGUUCUACAGUAUUAUGUGAAGUAGGGUGUAUUCAACAUGGAACUGUUACACUUGAAAGUUAACAAAACACUUUGUUCACGUCUACAUUAGUUCAGCAAUUUCACUCUUCUCGUAUCACUCUGUAGGCUACUGACAAAGCUUCCUCCUUAGAUGUGGCCAAAUAGAAUCCAUUCUAGUUCUGGUUAGACCGCUGAAGUUGUAGUCUAUACACAACUUGUUUUUAUUUGCUAGGUAAGUGUACACAUACUGUCUUUAAGCACAUCAAUAUGAUAUUUACAGCAUAGAAUGUUUUGUCUUUGUAACACGAACAUAGGUUUUUAGUUGAUAAAUGUAUCUACCCUCAAACUGGGCAAUGUCUGUGCAAUGUCCACAUGUAGUCUACACCGGUUGUAGGGAUGAAAGUAGUUUGGGGAUUUGUCCCCCUGGAAAGAUCAAACAACGUACUUAAGGAGAGACGAGAUGAGAGACAUCUCGCCAGUUAUAAAAUAUGUUGUAGGAAAGCUGAGCUGACUCAAGACCGGGCAUUCAACUCGCAGUUGAUACCAUUUCCAUAACGUGAUGAAACUAAGUUUCAAGCUACUUUCGUAGCAAGGUGUUGUAGAACUAGUGUCUUACACAUGAGACACCCCGAGAAUCUCCCUGCCGAUAGGUACUUAUAUCACAGUGGGAGGCCUUUCUUUCACUUGCUUGAACAAAAGCUGUACCUGCUUGCGGGCCAACCCAGAAGCGAUGAACCUGCCCCUUCUCCUUGUAGAAGUG